UACGUAGGGGGCUAGCGUUGUCCGGAAUCAUUGGGCGUAAAGCGCGUGUAGGCGGUCCGGUAAGUCCGCUGUGAAAGUCGGGGGCUCAACCCUCGAAUGCCGGUGGAUACUGUCGGGCUAGAGUGCGGAGGAGGCGAGUGGAAUUCCUGGUGUAGCGGUGAAAUGCGCAGAUAUCAGGAGGAACACCAAUUGCGAAGGCAGCUCGCUGGGACGUUACUGACGCUGAGACGCGAAAGCGUGGGGAGCAAACAGG
rnacentral:rRNA from 1 species